AAGAAAUUUUUUAUUAUAAUUUUAUGAGUUUUAAUUUUUAGUUUAAAAAAAAGUUAAUUUUAUUAUUUUUUUGAAAAAAUUUAUUUUAUUAUAGUUUAAUAGUAUUGAGAAAGAAAAUAUUUUUUAUUAAAAAGAAAAAUUUAAUUUUUGUACCUUGUGCAUCAGGGUUUAUUAAAUAUUAAUAUAAAUAUUUAUAAAUCUCGAAUUUAAAAGAUCUAAUAAAAUAUGAUUAUUAUUGUAAAAUAAUUAAAAUUAAAUUUUUUAUUAGUAAUGAAACGUUAUUCGUUUUUAAAUAUAUCUAGUUUUUUAAGAAAUUAAUUUAAUUAAUUUAUUAUUAAUAUAUUUUUAUAUGAUUAAAAUUAUAUUUAUAAUAAAAAAUAUUUUUAGGGAUGAGCUUAAAAAUAUAUUAUUAUUAGAAUUUAAAGUUUAAUUAAAAAAAUUAGAAUUAAAAAUUUUCAUAUUUUAAAAUAUGUUAUUAUUUAUUAUUAUAUAAUAUUAUUUAUAUAUUCUAUAAUUAUUUUAUUAAAAUAUAAAUUUAAAUUUUAAAAAUUUAGAAAUUAUGAUAAAAUUAGUAUAUUUUUAUGUUAAAUUUAAAAAAUUUUUAGGUUUAAUAAAGGAAUUCGGCAAAUUAUUUUUCACCUGUUUAUUAAAAACAUGUCUUUUUGUUUAAAUAUAAAGUCUAGCCUGCCCAAUGAUGAAUUUAAUGGCCGCGGUAUUUUGACCGUGCUAAGGUAGCAUAAUCAUUAGUUUUUUAAUUGAAAGCUGGAAUGAAGGGUUGGAUGAAAAAAUAACUGUCUCUGUUAAAAUAUAGUAGAAUUUUAUUUUUAAGUUAAAAAGCUUAAAUAUUUUUAAAAGACGAGAAGACCCUAUAGAGUUUUAUAAUUAAUAAUAUUUAUUUUUUUGGAAUUAAAUUUAAUAAUAAAAAUUAAUUAUUAGAUUGGGGUGAUUAAAAAAUUUAAUAAACUUUUUUUAUAUUUUUAUAUUGAUUUAUAAAUUGUUGAUCCAAUAAUUUUGAUUAUAAGAUA
rnacentral:rRNA from 1 species